rnacentral:tRNA from 1 species
GCCUAGAUGGCUCAGCAGUUAAGCAUCUGACUUUGGCUCAGAUCAGGAUCUCAUGGUUUGUGAGUUUGAGCCCUGCUUUGGGCU